CAGCAGCCGCGGGAAGACAGAGGAUGCAAGCGUUGUCCGGAUUUAUUGGGCGUAAAGCGAGCGCAGGCGGUUUGAUAAGUCUGAAGUUAAAGGCUGUGGCUCAACCAUAGUUCGCUUUGGAAACUGUCAAACUUGAGUGCAGAAGGGGAGAGUGGAAUUCCAUGUGUAGCGGUGAAAUGCGUAGAUAUAUGGAGGAACACCGGUGGCGAAAGCGGCUCUCUGGUCUGUAACUGACGCUGAGGCUCGAAAGCGUGGGGAGCGAACAGGAUUAGAUACCCCUGUAGUCCCUGUCUCUUAUACA
rnacentral:rRNA from 1 species